ACGCUACUUCCCCACUUGACUAGUGCCAUUUAUUUUCGAUUAUGAAAAAAAACAUAGGCCGGCAGGCCGCCAUACGGAGUAGAGUCGCUGAGUCGCAGAGUCGUCGUUGUAGCUAAUCUAGCUUUGCGCUUCGGUUUCAAAAUGUCAAUUUAAACAGUCAAUACUUUAUUAUGUAAAUGUUGACUUUAUUUGUUUGCCUUAAUGGUCAAAACGGUAAUAAAUGCAUUUCUUGUUGCAAAACAAUUUUUUGAAAAAGCCGCUCUUAUAUUCUGUCUAAUCAGAGCAGAGGCACCUCGUAGAAGAAUUGCGUACUUCACAGUUUCGUCCAAGCAACGAAGGAAGGUCGACGAAACGUGCCAUUACUGCCAUCUGAUUUCUUCCACACCAUCAUGUCACACAAUGACUAAUUUUAAGUGUUAACCAUGACACAAUUUUCAAUUUCAUGACAACACAAUUUUUCUUUCUUCGGCUGCCUCGGCAUUGACUAAUUAGUUUCAUAUAUUGACUUCAUCUUGAGCAAUUUGCUUUGAGAGCCUUAACAGAAAACAUGCUGUCAACCUCGAAAACCAAUCCAGCAAUCCCGAGCAAUCCUUUGGAUCAUGCACAAAACUUCAAACCUCAAAUAAAGAAAAGCAGACGACAAACAGAAAAGAAAUAAACGAUGCGCCAUCUAUAUUCGUGAAAUAUAUUCGCCACCUAGCGGUCGAAUGGCAUCUCACGGUAAAAAUUGUCAACUACUGAUCAAUCGUUGGCAACGUAGGACUAUUUUCGAUUUUGGUAGUAAAAUAUUCAAAGUGCUACUUAAACUUUUAAUAAUAAUAAAAAAAAAAAACAAGAUCAUGUAAUCCAUCUUUCGAGUCAAAAUUCAGUACAAACUUAUUGCGAAAAAAAUGUCGCACAUUGCGUUUUUCUCAUCAUUUCCUGCAGCUGAAAAAGAAAAUUGACAAAAUUAAAUCGCAAGUUAGACAUGCUUCAAAUCACUU